UGGGGAAUAUUGCACAAUGGGCGCAAGCCUGAUGCAGCCAUGCCGCGUGUGUGAAGAAGGCCUUCGGGUUGUAAAGCACUUUCAGCGGGGAGGAAGGCGAUAAGGUUAAUAACCUUGUCGAUUGACGUUACCCGCAGAAGAAGCACCGGCUAACUCCGUGCCAGCAGCCGCGGUAAUACGGAGGGCGCAAGCGUUAAUCGGAAUUACUGGGCGUAAAGCGCACGCAGGCGGUCUGUCAAGUCGGAUGUGAAAUCCCCGGGCUCAACCUGGGAACUGCAUUCGAAACUGGCAGGCUAGAGUCUUGUAGAGGGGGGUAGAAUUCCAGGUGUAGCGGUGAAAUGCGUAGAGAUCUGGAGGAAUACCGGUGGCGAAGGCGGCCCCCUGGACAAAGACUGACGCUCAGGUGCGAAAGCGUGGGGAGCAAACAGG
rnacentral:rRNA from 1 species